AACAAGGCGUACCUGCGGACCUGCGGAAGGAUCAUUACCAGAGUGCCCUAGGCUCUCCAACCCAUUGUGAACUUACCAAACGUUCCCUCGGCGGGCUCAGCGCGCGGCGGCCUCCGGGCCUCCGGGCGUCCGCCGGGGAAAACCAAACCCUGAUUUAAUCGUAUUUCUCUGAGGGGCGAAAGCCCGAAAACAAAAUGAAUCAAAACUUUUAGCAACGGAUCUCAGAUCGGAAGAGCACAC
rnacentral:misc_RNA from 1 species